AAACCAUGAUUCAGCAUUUCUGCUACACUCUCAUAGGGAGCACACGACUAGGCUUCAAAAGCCAAAAGAUUAAAGUGAAGUAGUGAAAGACAUCAUUUUGGAGUCAACCACAUAAGCUUAACAACAAAUUCAAGAAUGAAUGAACUUCAUAGUUUAUCCACAAGCAGCAAGGACAUCUACAGGUAAAGGAAGACCUUCCCCAAAAAAGAAGCAGGAUUACAGACCUACAACACUCAAACAUAAAGAAGUACUGUUACUAGAGAAGCCCAGGAUGAGCUGAACCAGAGGCCCGAGGCCAUUGGUGGGAAUGUCAGAAGAUAGCUACAGCUACUCAAAGCCACAGAGACAGUGGCACCACUACAACCAAGCAGCAUGAUGCAUCAGGGUGGGAGUACUGUAAAAAGCUGAAGUAUCUUCAUAGGAAAUUUCAUCCUCUUGCUUUAUUUCUUAUAAUGUUAAGGUAUUGUUGUACCAUCCAUUUUUCAAGUCCACACUUCUAUUUUCAGUAACAGCUCACUGUUGUAUCAAGAUGUAUGAUAGUAUUGAUGUGAGCAUUUUAUUUUUGUCACUUAGCAUGUACGGUUCCCAUUGUAUGUACUAUGUCAAUAGCGAAAGUCUCUAGUUAUGUAAUUAUUUUAUAAAAAGUGAACCUUAGUAUAGUUUGUGGAGAGGAGCAUGCUAUAGUAGUAGAUAAAAACUUGAGGCUUUCGGUUGUUCUGUUGUACUGUGGCUUUGAAAGAGUGCCAACAUGGAAUUAUUUCAAUAGCUUUUUGAUAUGUUCAGAAAUUGAAAAACAAAUGCUGUCUUAGAAGUAGAUCAGUAUUUCACUUUGACAUCUUCUAGUUUUGAGAUUUGUGAAUUUUAAUGUGCUAGGAAAUAACUUUUACUAAUUAAUGUUAGAAAUAAACUUUCCUAGAAAUAAACUUUCCUAGAAAUAAACUUUCCUAGAAAUAACUAGCACUGCAGUGUAUGCAAGCAGUAUGGUAUGCCUCUGUUAUCCACUGAAUAGAUAGUGUUAGCUCAUUCUGUUUGGCUUUAGCAAGGUUCUCUGUACAGAAUGAUGGACUGUUGUCAAAAAGAUAUGUAUUUUUUUCCUGAAUAAUUUGAAAAAUGUAAGCAGGUUUCUGAUAUUCCCUUGGAGUUUCGUUUCCAUAAAUGUUAUUGCAGAUGCUGUUUCUCUUACUUAAUGCCUUUCAGUGCAUUAUCCUGUGACAUUCAAUGAUGUUACCCAGUGAAAAUGUAGUAAAACUGGUAUUAACCUUAAAAACCAUUGAAAAAUAGAAUUAAUCAACUGGGCAUCAAUGACACUGAUUACUUCUCAACAAUUUAUCUCUAGAUCAAAAGUAAUGAACUAAACAAUGAUUUGAGUGGGCUAGAAAGACUUGGUAAUAUGUUACAAAAGGUUUGUGCUACUUUUUGCAUAAAGAUUGCAGCUGCCACUUUCUGCACUGAGCUACCUAGUGCAACUGAAAUGUAUAUACCUCUACUCAGCACUGUAUCUAGGAGUCAUUUGAUUUGAUGUUUGAUUUCCAGUUUGUUGAAAUUCAGUGAUGAAUUGUAUGAAGUCACUAAAAUUCUCAUUUAAUCAUGCUUAUUUACAUAAAAAAUGUUUUCUUG
rnacentral:lncRNA from 7 species